UGCAAAGAACUCUGAAGAGAGAGUUCAAGAGGGCGUGAAACCGCUGAGAUGGAAGCGAAUAGAGUCGACGAAACCUGUUCCAUCAUUCAACCAAUCAGCUCUGCGGCCCGUCACCGCGCUACCGUACGCAACACUGCGGAGUGUGUCGGUGGUGGUCACUGCUGGGUGGAGCUAGGCCUGUGUGAUUGGUGCAUUUGAUGGCGGUAUGCGCCGAGAGCCGCGUCGCAGUGUGCGUCAAUGUCUGUUUGGUGCAGUGGACCGUUGUAUGUCUUUGCGGACGGGCGGAAACCUGCAUUCGACCGAGGCGUAUCACUGAUGCGGUGAACAGCCGUGUACAGCAGUCCCCGCACGCUACGUGUGGCGCGUCGUUCAAUCGUUGGACUGGCCGUGCGGCGGUGCGCACUGUGCAUUUCGGUGUGCAGUGCGUUCGCCUGCGGUCUGGCCACGGUGGUUUGAACGCGUUGGGACUGUGUCUCGGUGUGAGUGUCGAUCACCUAUUCGACCCGUCUUGAAACACGGACCAAGGAGUCUAGCAUAUGCGCAAGUUAUUGGGUGGUAAACCCGUAGAAAACGCAAUGAAAGUGAAAUCGGCCGUUCCGACGGUCGCAAACUGUGAGCCCGUCGACUCCGUCUGGCGCAACAGUGCCCCGUCUCGGUUGCCGUUGGCAACGGGGCGGAGGUAGAGCGCAUAUGCUGGGACCCGAAAGAUGGUGAACUAUGCCUGAGCAGGAUGAAGCCAGAGGAAACUCUGGUGGAGGUCCGAAGCGAUUCUGACGUGCAAAUCGAUCGUCUGACUUGGGUAUAGGGGCGAAAGACUAAUCGAACCAUCUAGUAGCUGGUUCCC
rnacentral:rRNA from 1 species